rnacentral:rRNA from 1 species
UACGUAUGGUGCAAGCGUUAUCCGGAUUUACUGGGCGUAAAGGGAGCGCAGGCGGCGCGCCAAGUCUGAUGUGAAACCCCGGGGCUCAACCCCGGGCAUGCAUUGGAAACUGGCGGGCUGGAGUGCCGGAGAGGUAAGCGGAAUUCCUAGUGUAGCGGUGAAAUGCGUAGAUAUUAGGAGGAACACCAGUGGCGAAGGCGGCUUACUGGACGGCAACUGACGCCGAGGCUCGAAAGCGUGGGGAGCAAACAGG